CACACAUUCAAUGCAUCCCAUACAUACACAGAAACACACCUUGCAGUCCUUACACAUACAAACACAAUUUCACACAAUGCAUUCCUUACACACAUAUCAGGACAUCCCCUACACACUCCACCCCCUGUGAACAAACUCAUUGGUGGAACAUGAAGGUGGACCCUGGGACCCAGACAUUGAGCUGUGUAAAGGACCCCCAAAAAAUGGAGCUGCUUCCCGUUCUCCCAGAACAUUGAUUUUUGUGACCACAGUUACAAACCGCCUCCAGAGCCUGUUCUGCACCAGACCAGUGGAGCCAGACUGCAGCUAGAGCCCAUCAUUAUCCUCAUCUGGUUGUAAGUAGGCAAUCUAGUAUAUUAUUCGUGGCACUAAUCUCUAAUUUACCUCACAUUAAA
rnacentral:lncRNA from 1 species